CUGAAAAUACACCAACAGAUCCACACCAGAAAGAAACUCUACAAGUGCAGUUACUGUGAGAAGCAGAGCGACACAGAUGGAUCCAGUUCUCAACCCUGUCAUCACUGUGGAGGUGGGAAAGCGUUUCGUUGCGACCUUUGUGGAAAAACUUUCAAUCAGCAACGAAACCUAAAAAUGCAUCAGCGUAAACACACUGAAGACAAAAUGAUCUACUGUAAAGAAUGUGGAAGAGGCUUCCCCACUCAAUCUGAUUUUAAACAACAUGAAAUCUUCCACAGUGGGGUUAAAAAGCACGCCUGUAACCAGUGUGCAUACUUCUCCACCUCUGCAGGUCAGCUUAAAAGACAUAAACGAGUCCACACAGGAGAGAAACCAUACAAGUGCAGACACUGUAACAAAAGAUUCUCACAAUCGAGCAGUCGUAACAAUCAUGAACGUACACACAUUGAAGGGAACUUCAGCUGUGACCAGUGUGACAAGAGCUUCAAGAAUCUCAGUUCAUACUCCGAGCACAAACGAUCCCACAUUACUAAUAAACAGUUUCACUGUUACCAAUGUGCAAAAACAUUCACUUCACUAUCUGCUCUGUGCAAACAUCAGCGUGAUCAUGUACGACUGAAAUCAGUUGAUCACAACGAAUCUGCAGAGACAGAAAGAUCCUGUUCUGGUUUCGGGGUCAGACUUAAAAACCUUGAGAUCAGGCUCCACAGAGUUCAGCUGGACUCUCCUGUAAAGAGUGUCAGCUGAUGUCACACUUGGAUCUGAGGAGGUAGCUCUGAUUUCUUCAACUGCAGUGAAUAAUCCUGAAUGUUACAUUUAGGAAGCUGCAAGUAUAGAUAUGUACAUCCAGUUCCUUUGCUUUAAUUUUGAUGAAUUUUAUUGCUCUAAAAUGUUAUCCCUGUUACAUUUAAAUACACCCCCACCCCCAUCAGGAAACAGUAGUGUUAAGUAGUAGUACCUGUAUUAUAAAGUUAUAGAAAUGUUUUUUUAUAUCCAGCUGAUAGAGCAGCUAUCUAUGAAGUUCAGCGUUUUUAUACUUAUGUAUUUUCAUUGUUUUGAGGUCUAUAUUUCUAUUUUACUUUUUGAAAUUCAGUUUAAAGCUGAACUGGGGCUGGGCAAUAUUUCUAUGUAAUACUAAUUUAUUCCACAAGGUGGAGCUUUAUUUGAUCACCCGAAGAACACAUUAAUAUUUACAGUGGUGGCCUGCAGAGGACAACGCAUUUUUAGAAAAUUGGGGUAAAGCAGCAAAAAACUAUUAGAGGUUAAAGUUUGCAGAUGACUGUUGUUGUUCAUCAUCUCCAGGACAGUGACACCAGUCAUGGCCCAGUGCUCUGGGGUUUUCUUAAAUGCUGUUUAAUUGUUUCUUCUUUGGUUUAGUGUGAUGGCCAUGAGCGAUGUCUCUGUCAGCAAAAAGGCUGUAACACUGACCGUGAUAAAGAUGCUAAAGAGAA